rnacentral:tRNA from 1 species
GCUUUUAAAGGAUAACAGUGAUCCAUUGGACUUAGGCCCCAAAAACUCUUGGUGCAAAUCCAAGUAAAAGCU